CAGGAUGAACGCUAGCUACAGGCUUAACACAUGCAAGGUCGAGGGGCAGCAUUGGAGUAGCAAUACUCAGAUGGCGACCGGCGCACGGGUGAGUAACACGUAUCCAACCUGCCGCUUACUCGGGGAUAGCCUUUCGAAAGAAAGAUUAAUACCCGAUGGUAUAAAGAGUUCGCAUGUUCUCUUUAUUAAAGAAUUUCGGUAAGCGAUGGGGAUGCGUUCCAUUAGAUAGUUGGCGGGGUAACGGCCCACCAAGUCUACGAUGGAUAGGGGUUCUGAGAGGAAGGUCCCCCACAUUGGAACUGAGACACGGUCCAAACUCCUACGGGAGGCAGCAGUGAGGAAUAUUGGUCAAUGGACGAGAGUCUGAACCAGCCAAAAGUAGCGCGAAGGAUGACUGCCCUAUGGGUUGUAAACUUCUUUUAUAAGGGAAUAAAGUGAGGGACGUGUCCCUUUUUGUAUGUACCUUAUGAAUAAGGAUCGGCUAACUCCGUGCCAGCCGCGGC
rnacentral:rRNA from 1 species